GUGGGGAAUCUUGCGCAAUGGGCGAAAGCCUGACGCAGCCAUGCCGCGUGGAUGAUGAAGGUCUUAGGAUUGUAAAAUCCUUUCACCGGUGAAGAUAAUGACUGUAGCCGGAGAAGAAGCCCCGGCUAACUUCGUGCCAGCAGCCGCGGUAAUACGAAGGGGGCUAGCGUUGCUCGGAUUUACUGGGCGUAAAGGGCGCGUAGGCGGACAUUUAAGUCAGGGGUGAAAUCCCGGGGCUCAACCUCGGAACUGCAUUUGAUACUGGGUGUCUUGAGUAUGAGAGAGGUGUGUGGAACUCCGAGUGUAGAGGUGAAAUUCGUAGAUAUUCGGAAGAACACCAGUGGCGAAGGCGACACACUGGCUCAUUACUGACGCUGAGGCGCGAAAGCGUGGGGAGCAAACAGGAUUAGAUACCCGGGUAGUCC
rnacentral:rRNA from 1 species